UACAGAGGGGGCAAGCGUUGUUCGGAAUUACUGGGCGUAAAGGGCGCGUAGGCGGCCUUCUAAGUCGAACGUGAAAUCCCCGGGCUCAACCCGGGAACUGCGUCCGAUACUGGAAGGCUUGAGUGCGGGAGAGGAACGCGGAAUUCCAGGUGUAGCGGUGAAAUGCGUAGAGAUGUGGAGGAACACCGAUGGCGAAGGCAGCCCCCUGGGUCAAGAUUGACGCUCAUGCACGAAAGCGUGGGGAGCAAACAGG
rnacentral:rRNA from 1 species